rnacentral:rRNA from 1 species
AUGGCUCCGCUCCCCCUCCCCCUCCUCCUCCUCGCGCUCGCCGGCCUCGCCGUCGCCGCCGCCCAGCCCGGCCAGCCUUUCCCCCCGUCUCCGCAGCAGUCCACCGACGCCUCCGACGCGGCCGCCCUGCUCGCGGUGUUCCAGCGGUGGGGUCUCCGGUACGGCCCGACGGCGAGCCCGGGGGACCCGUGCGGGACGCGGGACUGGCCCGGGUCCUUCGCGAGGAACGCGUCCGUCGGCUGCCGCUGCGACGGCUCGCCCGUGUGCCGCAUCACGCACCUGAACGUCACCGGAUUCUCGAAUCUGACCGGGAUCCCGCCGGAGCUCUUCAGCUUGACGGAGCUGGUCUCUCUGGAUUUGAGCAAUAACAACUUAAGUGGUUCUAUACCUCAAGAAGUUGCCAAUCUCUCCAAACUACAAACAUGGCACUUCAACAACAACAAACUCAGUGGGCUUUUACCUAAUGAAUCUUCACGUUUGGGGAGUCUUCAAUCCCUGUGGAUGUUCGAUAAUUACAUUGAAGGGCAACUUCCAGAAUUUAUUGCGAAUUUUACCAAUAUCAUAGAUCUGAGAAUAUAUGGAACGAAACUUCGAGGGCCUAUUCCAAAAAACUUCUCUAAGUUGACCAAUCUGAAAAUUCUGAUGCUUGGUGAUCUUGAUGGUGGAAAUUCUACUUUCGAUUUCAUAGCAGAUGGGGCAAAUAUUUCAAUAUUAUCACUGAGAAAAUGUGGAAUUGGCCAGUUUCCUAGUAACCCCCCAAAUCUACCCAAUCUAACAUACCUAGAUUUGAGGUCAAACAAUUUAUCAAGCUCAAUAGAACCAUUGCGUCGUUAUGGGAGAUUAAGCUACCUAUAUAUGGGUGAAAACAACUUUAGUGGACCUCUGCCUUCUGAAAUGUUUCAAUCAUCCCGUGGUUUGGAUGUUUCUUAUAACCCUUUACUUAAUGGAAACCUUCCUAACAACCCCCCUGAUCGCAAGUGGUCAAUAAACUAUAUCGGGACUUCAAUUGAUGCAAGCAGAACAAUUAACAGUGAGAACCUUACUCUCCUCAAUUGUCUCCACAUGAAAGAAUGCAACAAGUUCAACACUAAACCAAUAACUUCAUUCGCUGUAAACUGUGGCGGCAAGCAAAGGAUUUCUUCAGAUCCAUUGCCAAUUACGUUUGACGAUGACACCAGUAUCCUUGGGGCAGCAGGCUUUCAUGUUAAUACUGACAGGCAAUGGAUAGUUAGCCAUGUGGGUUCUGAUCCUUUUACUAACUCUUCUGGACCCGGUACCAUAAGUACAACUCAAGUUAUUCUGGGGACAGACAUGCCUGAUCUCUAUGAAACUGCAAGGACAUCAACAAGUGCUUUGUCGUACUAUGCGGUUGGUUUGUUGAAUGGGAAAUAUACAGUUCAACUCUUCUUCGCAGAGAUACUUAUUGAUAGCCAGUUAAAUAAUGGGACAGGAAGGCGCUUGUUUAACAUUGAUAUUCAGGAUCAGAAUAUCAAGAGAGAUUUUGACAUUACUAAGGAAGCAGGGGGGUUCGGGAGACCCACAAACAUAACUCGUGAAGUGACUGUGGAUAACUCAGUACUUAAGAUACAUCUGUAUUGGAGUGGACGAGGCACAUGCUGUAUUCCAUAUGAAGGAGCUUAUGGGCCUCUGGUGUCAGCAAUAAGAGUUUUUCGUCCUGAAAAGCCGAACAACAGCCCCCCACCAGCACGGCCAGUGUCUGCGCCAAGUAAUGAUGACAAGCGAAGAGGAGUGGUUGCAGGCAUUGCAGCCCUGUGUAUAGCUGGGGCGGUGAUCUCUUCGUCCGUCGUUUACCUCUGGUGGAAAUGGGUUGCGAUGUGA